AAAAUACAAAAUAGAAAAACUUAAUAUCAAAUCCGAAUGAAUAUAUAUAUAUAUAUAUAUAUUUUAUUGAAUUCAUAUUUUUGAAUAAGUAUAAUUUUAAACAUAUAUAUAUUUCACAUUAUAUUAAGUGUUUAAAUUUAAGCAUGAACAUAAUGAAAAAAUAUGGUUUCAAAAAUAUUUUUUAUAGAAUAAAGACAAAAUAAUCUAAAGCCUUAGAUUUGAGAAGGAUAAAAUUGAAUUUUUACUUUUUCAAUGUUGCCUCAGCCUUGAUUCAAAUUAAUAUUUUAAAUAGGAUGAGCGGCUAUUUUAGAUCGAAGAAGAGUUCGAAGGGCCAAAGGUCCGAAUCGUCUGAGGGAACUCUAGCAACCCCCAAACGACGUUUCAGGGCCAGAUGACAGCCAGACGUGCGAGCCUUCUGGAGACGGCGCAGAGGCAGCCGGAGGUGCCCCUUUCAUUGAGGCAGACGGCCAUCCCUCGUUCCUCGAGGCAGCUGUGGCCUCAGACCCAGACGGAGGUGUCUGCACCCCGUAUGCCUAAGAUACACCAGGCGCCCACUCCGGGUCCUACUUCUCGGAUAGUGGCUCAUCUGGGGUACAGAUGCCGCCGCCUCAUCUGUUCCUUCCACGAAUGAUACCGGCCUUACCUGUAGUAGAUGGCUCAAGGACUCCGAUUUAUCCACUGCCCCCGCCAGUGGCUCCAUCAGCGGCGUACCGGUUCGUGCCUUUUGAUACGCCUCUUAUUUCCGCGAGGGUAUCAUCAUCGGCGACAGAGACGGAAUCCGUCGCGUCCGCCGCGAGCACAUCAGGUAAUCAGUGAUGCAUGAUUACUUUUCUUAUAAUUAAUAAUAAAGGGUCUCCGAUUUUAAUAAUCAAUUUGGUUUAUCAUGUGAUAGGCACCGUCGGAGCGAAGCCGACAAAGAAGAAGAGAGGCCCCGUCACAGGGAAGGCUCUCGAGAAGAUCGUAGGUACCGUGGGGAGGAUCGUCAUCAAUACUGACGGGGAUGGCCACAUAGUAUCGGGCGGGAAGUCGAGGACGUACUUCGGCC
rnacentral:lncRNA from 1 species